GUAAAUGAAUCUUCAUCAAUUUUCAUUUUCUCUAGUCUUUACAAAGAAAUUACUCAUGAAAUCCAGUAUUGAUGAAGAAGAAGGUGAUAUUAAUGCCGCAAUUACAAAGGGUCUGCCUUCUUAGAGAAAUCAAAUCAACAGAAUACCAAAAGGGAUUGUUGAUUUGCUCUCCCAAAUCAUUGUCAUGUUCCUCAUCUUCUUCGGCUUCUUUCAUCAUAACUUCACAUUGGGUCUGCAAUCAACAUUGAUCAUCUCUACAAUGUAAUUCACUCAUUUCUCAAGACAUCAUGAGAUCAGAAAUUAUCAAUAGAGCUAUUAUUGUAAUACUUAGCUCCAUUGGCUUCUUUGCAGUUUUUUAACAAGACAUUAGUCC